rnacentral:pre_miRNA from 2 species
AGGUGUGGGAUGUUGUGCAGUGUUGUUCAAUCUCCCGCCAAUAUUGCACUCGUCCCGGCCUCC